GGAGAAGGUGUUUCUCUUCACGAUGAGGAUCCCACCCUUGUCCUAAAGUUUCUUUUGUUUGCUGAAGAUGGAGUAAUUGGAAGUUUCGAGGUCUGAAGCAAAAUUGAACUGGACUGGCCUGUCAUCGAACCCGAAGAGCCGCGUAGUCGAUCUGACCCCCUUGGUCCUCAAUCCUGGAGGCUUUCACUUCUCGUACUUGGCCAGGAACAAUGCGCACAAGCUCCACUGCCCUGGCUUCCCCUGGCCCUCAGCCUGUAGUGGUUCUGCCAGCACCGAGGAGAUGCUAUCCCCAUCUGUGAAGGCCUCCAUCUUCACCCCGCCUGUCCUGCUCAAGUUCCAGCCUGUGCCCAGACCCAAAGAUGAAUCAGAGAAUGACCCUGGCAGCGCAGAGUCCACGCCCCACCAGAGGGACCCAUAACCUCUUCUGUACAGACCACGGCAGGAGAAUGAAUAAAGUUCCCCUGGUGGUUCCUUCCUCGUGCCACGCUACCCAGGGGCCGUGCAGUCCCACGGGCUCU